GGGGGUGUAGCUCAGGUGGGAGAGCGGUACGUUCGCAACGUAUAGGUCAGGGGUUCGAAUCCCCUCAUCUCCACCA
rnacentral:tRNA from 3 species